GCUCGCAACGACCUCAAUCUGAGAAAAACCUUGGCGCCUGGCACUUGGAUUGGACUCCUGACACAUUGGCGCAGCCGCUCCUGGUGUAGACAGGGGACAGAAACCCCCGUCCAGUUGCUAAGCACAAUAUCCACACCAGAGGGAAAGGUCCCCGAAGUUCCCCUGUGGUCUGGCUUCCAGAACAGAAGUUAAAGGAGGCGCGCUCCAGGGCUAAGGGUGCACGGGAUAACACGCUGCAGCCCGGUCCUUGGACAACCCCCGACCUGUGCGAGGUUUCCCAGACGGAGAGAAGACUCUGCUGAGAGGCGAUCGAAGCUAAGACCGCAGACGAGGCUCCAGGUGCGCAGGCAGAGGAGAGGCGCGCGCCCUGGGAAAAGCGGCCUCUGCGGGCCGGGCUGGCGGCAGCCCUGGAGCCGGCAGUUUCCAGACCGGAAAGGCGAAGGAGCCUCGUCCCCGGUCCCCGAGGACUGCGUGACUGUGAGUGCGGUGGCGGUUUCCCGGAGCUCCAGGCACCGCGCCGCCUCCUUCCUGAGGGCCCCAGCGUCCGCCGGCACCGCGCCGUUGGCAUCCUUACCUGCGCAAGGCUGCAGGAGGACGAGACUCAGAAGGGACUCUUCGGGGGUGUGCAAGCCGCAGGGGGGGUGUGGGUGAGAAAAAAACUUCCAUCCCGGGUCCAUCCAAAGGCAGCUUCUCGCCGCGUGCUGGGAACUUUGGAGGGAAUUGGAGGGACCGGGGUGGAGAGUCAGGGUAGCUAUGGGGUUGUUGAGGAGAGGAUAGACACAUUGAGAAGCUUGCAUCCCGGCUGUCCUACCCUCUAGCCAAGAAAGCCGUGUGCCUUAGGGGAGACAAAGUUGGUGGUUCCCAUCCCUGCACGUUGUCCCACAGUUCAGACUGGAGUGGGAGGGGGUGAGAAGCCCAGGGAGAACUCCAGGCUCAGGUUAGGGGAGAGGAGGACAGAAGGGUGAGGUCACUGGGGUUCCUGUUUCAGGGCUAUAACUGUGGGGAUUUUUCCAUUUCAGCUUCCCAGAAUUUCCCCCAGGUCUCAAGAACUUCUACGUGGACUGUGCUCCCAGUGUUCAUCCCAGGCUAACUGGACCUUGUCCGGUGCCAGGCCAUCAGAACUGCCACCUCAAGGAAUCCCCACUCUGAGAGCGUACUUGGGUUAAGUAUCCAGAGCUUACUCCCCACCUGCUGGAGAAGGGGGGACUCACUCCUAAGGCCAAUUUCCACCAGGAAAGUGCCCCAGAGGUCAGGGCAUCCAGGUAGCACACUGUCCAAACGCUGAAGUCUGUGGACCAGUAGCAUGGCCCUCACCUGGAUACUGCAGAAGCUCCAGCCCCACCCACUCCCUGCAUCUAACCAGGGGACUUGUGCACAUUCCGGUUGGAGAAGCCCUGGCCUAAUUUACAGAGCCAGAGUUUACCCCUGCUAACUCAUCCUGCCUUGUGUCUCCCAGCCUCAUCUUGAACCUCUGUCAAAUGGUAGGUGUUUCUGAGGUCGCUGGGGAACUUUUUAGCACCCCUGAAACCACUUCAGACCAAUGACAAGAAAAUCUCUAGUGGGUGGAACCUGGCAGGAAUGCAGUAGUAAAUGUCCCAGAUGAUUCUAAUAGCCAGGAAGAACUAAUAUAGAAAUAACCCCCUUUACAGGUUCACUGAGAUACAGCUUGGACCCUAUGCAAGACUGUGAGUACACUGUGAGAACACCACUGGCUCUAUAGCCAGAUUCACUCUGGCCCCAGCAGAAAUGGCCUUGAGCCAGCUAAUUACCCUGACUGUGCCUCAGUUUCCUUACCUUGUAAAAUGGUGUUGAGAAUAAUGCCCAACCACAAAGGGUGGGGUUCAGAUGUAGAACCAAACUUUUAGAAUCAAAUUCAAUGAAUCUUCACUUACAAUGCCACAGUCCUCAAUCUCUCAUUUUAAGCCUAAUGAUUUAUCUCUCCCCUCCUUUGUCCCAAGAAGUCCUCUUCCAGGGGCCAAGAGCUUGGCUUGGCUUCAAUAUUCACGUCUAUUUUUUCAACAUUUUGAACGUGAAAACUAAUAUUUUAUAUCACCUAGCCAUUUAAUAAACCCAGUCAUCUGCAAAGAUUUAUUUUUGCAAUUCCAGAAGCACUAGCCAGUUCUGUGGCUAACCAUGGCAGCCAUUGAAUGAAAAUACCUGGAUGAGAUGCUGAUUCUAUGAUUGUGUAGAUCUGGGGAGGGGCAGAGCAAUUACAUCUCUAACAAACCCCCAAGUAAUACAGAUGCUUCUGGUCAGAAGGGACCACACUCUGCAAACUGUGGUGCCACAUGAAUGGUCUGCUCUGAGCCUGGUGGAAAUCUCAACAGCAACACUAUCCAUAGAA